CUGGGAAAAGGGAACCUUUAUGACUGGGACUUGGUCUGGAGGAGAGCUGGUGGGAGCACCACCUUGUGGCAGUCCAUAAGAGAGCCUAGAGUUCAGGUUUGGAACUAGCGGGCUUGAAGUAGCUCCCCAGGGGCCUCAGGUCUUAGCUUCAGCCACAAGCCCAGUUUUCUGCUGUUGGUAAGAGCAGCCCUACAUGUGGUCUGAGAGCUUGUGUGCUUUGCACAUCACUGACUGGAGGCUGGACCAGGUGUUCUCUGGGAAAAAAAAAGACCGAGCCGUGCCUUCAAGGAGCUGCUGCUUAGGGAGCCAAAGGAUCUAGAAUCACAUAGGAUAAAAGGAUCUGGGCACAUCUGUGAAGACAUUUUUGGAUUGGGCUGAGAUAGGAAGACUCAUCCUGAAUGUGGUGGCACCAUUCCCUAGGCUGGAGUGUUGGACCGAAUCAAAAGGAGAAAGUAAGCUGCGUACCAGCAUUCAUCUUUACUAUUUCCUAACUGCAGAUGCAGAGCUCCCUCCAGCUCCUGUUACCAAGCCUUAUCUACAAUGGUGGAUGGACUCAAGUUAUGAACUCAAAUAAUCCCUUCCUUCUGUGAGCUGCUUUUGUUAGGUAUUACAGCAAUAAGAGAAGUAAUUUGUAUGAAAACUAGUUCACUUUUCUUGAUAAAAGAAAUUCCCAAAC
rnacentral:lncRNA from 1 species